rnacentral:rRNA from 1 species
ACGGGCGGUGUGUGCGUAGGCUGGCUUUUAAGUCAGGUGUGAAAUCCAAUGGCUCAACCAUUGAACUGCACUUGAAACUGGGAGCCUAGAGUUCAGAAGGGGCAGAUGGAAUUAGUGGUGUAGGGGUAAAAUCCGUAGAUAUCACUAGGAAUAUCAAAAGCGAAGGCGAUCUGCUGGGAUGAUACUGACGCUGAGGCACGAAAGCGUGGGGAGCAAACAGGAUUAGAUACCCUGGUAGUCCACGCCCUAAACGAUGAAUGCUAGUCGUCGGGAAGCUCGUCUUUUCGGUGACGCACUUAACAGAUUAAGCAUUCCGCCUGGGGAGUACGGUCGCAAGAUUAAAACUCAAAGGAAUAGACGGGGACCCGCACAAGUGGUGGAGCAUGUGGUUUAAUUCGAAGAUACACGAAGAACCUUACCUGGCCUUGACAUCCCAA